rnacentral:lncRNA from 1 species
CCUCCCAGCUUCAAGCAAUGCUCCCACCUUGGCCUCCCAAAGUGCUGGGAUUACAGGCAUGAGCCACCAUGCCUGGCCCAUUGCCAUUGCACUUCAGCUGGUUCUCCUAAACCGUGAAUUAUCUUAGGAAAGAUUGUAUUUUCAGGAAUUAAGUCUUUUGGAGACACAGCAGGACUCCACAGCCAGCUAGAUUUGGAUAAAAUGUAGACCGCCUCAAGGCCAGUGUGUUGACUUCUGACCAGUCUCAUCUGAACCCACACGCUUUAACAUAUAUACAAAACACCCUGAAGGGUUGGGCUGCCAGCUUUCUUUAAGAUGAUAGAGGACAGGUUAAGUUUGCUUGACAUAACUAGAAGAGGCGGAGCCUCUUCCUAAUGGAGCAAGGUCCAUUUUUGGCAAAUUGUGGUCCCCCACACCACUAUCAGCUACUUCUGGAUAGCUUUUGCUUAGAGUUGAUGAGGUAUUGUUUCUUUCA